rnacentral:rRNA from 1 species
UACGUAGGGGGCAAGCGUUGUCCGGAUUUAUUGGGCGUAAAGAGCGUGUAGGCGGCCAGACAGGUCCGUUGUGAAAACUCGAGGCUCAACCUCGAGACGUCGAUGGAAACCGUCUGGCUAGAGUCCGGAAGAGGAGAGUGGAAUUCCGUGGAUGUAGCGGUGAAAUGCGCAGAUAUCAGGAAGAACACCUAUGGCGAAGGCAGCUCUCUGGGACGGUACUGACGCUGAGACGCGAAAGCGUGGGGAGCGAACAGG